rnacentral:rRNA from 1 species
AGCAUAUCAAUAAGCGGAGGAAAAGAAACUAACAAGGAUUCCCCUAGUAACUGCGAGUGAAGCGGGAAAAGCUCAAAUUUAAAAUCUGGCGGUCUUCGGCCGUCCGAGUUGUAGUCUGGAGAAGUGCUUUCCGCGCUGGACCGUGUACAAGUCUCUUGGAACAGAGCGUCAUAGAGGGUGAGAAUCCCGUCUUUGACACGGACUACCAGUGCUUUGUGAUGCGCUCUCAAAGAGUCGAGUUGUUUGGGAAUGCAGCUCAAAAUGGGUGGUAAAUUCCAUCUAAAGCUAAAUAUUGGCGAGAGACCGAUAGCGAACAAGUACCGUGAGGGAAAGAUGAAAAGCACUUUGGAAAGAGAGUUAAACAGUACGUGAAAUUGCUGAAAGGGAAACGAUUGAAGUCAGUCGCGUUGGCCAGGACUCAGCCUUGCUUUUUGCUCGGUGCAUUUUCUGGUUGACGGGCCAGCAUCGAUUUUAACCGUUGGAAAAAGGUUGGGGGAAUGUGGCACCUUCGGGUGUGUUAUAGCCCUCAGUCACAUACGGCGAUUGGGAUCGAGGACCGCAGCACGCCUUUAUGGCCGGGGUUCGCCCACGUUCGUGCUUAGGAUGCUGGCGUAAUGGCUUUAAACGACCCGUCUUGAAACACGGACCAAGGAGUCUAACAUGCCUGCGAGUGUUUGGGUGGAAAACCCGAGCGCGUAAUGAAAGUGAAAGUUGAGAUCCCUGUCGCGGGGAGCAUCGACGCCCGGACUUGAACUUCGGUGAUAGAUCUGCGGUAGAGCAUGUAUGUUGGGACCCGAAAGAUGGUGAACUAUGCCUGAAUAGGGUGAAGCCAGAGGAAACUCUGGUGGAGGCUCGUAGCGAUUCUGACGUGCAAAUCGAUCGUCAAAUUUGGGUAUAGGGGCGAAAGACUAAUCGAACCAUCUAGUAGCUGGUUCCUG